UGAAUCGAAUUACCUUAAAAAAUAUAUCUAUAGAGACGAAAAGAGCAAGCCCCGCUCUCAUAUAAAUAAAAAAUAAUAUUACUGUAUGUCUUCCUUUUUGCCUUGAUCUUCCCCGACGCGAACAAGUCCUGAGUGCUGGAGGAUUUGGGUUGAAUUGAAUCGUUUUGUUUGAGAUUGGGUAAUCUAUAUAUCUGCAUAACCUGGUUUAUUUGUUGGCAUAUAAAAGAUGUCGAGUAAGAAAGAAGAGAAAACUCAGGCUGCAGCUGAAAAAAUCAAGGCUGCAGCAUUGAGUGCAGCGAAAGGUCUCAGUCGUGCACAGGCUGAAAGGGCAGCAGCUGCUGCAGCCCGCAAUGUUAAUGCUUAUGGGCAAAAGGAAGAGGGACCUAGCAGAUGGCAGGAGAAAAGGGAAGCAAAGAGGCAGAUGUAUUUAAUGAGUACCGAGAAGGCAGUGAGAUUAGGUGAAAGGAAAGAUAAGAUGACAAUGUCUGCAAUGGGUGCAUCACAGUGCCAAAGGUGUUUUCAGGCAGGGCAUUGGACAUAUGAAUGCAAGAAUGAACGGGUCUAUAUGUCACGACCCUCGCGUACUCAGCAGCUUAAGAACCCCAAAUUAAGGAUGAAGCUUUCAAUCUCUUAUGAUUUGGACAACCCAGAUGUCAAAGAUGACAAAGAUGACAAUAGGUCUAAGAAAAGCAAGAGGAAGUAUCGGUCAGAUUCUGAUUCUGGUAGUGACAGUGAGGCUUCUGUUUUUGAGACUGAUAGCGGUGCCUCAUCUGUUACCGGCUCAGGUUCUUCUUCAGCAGAGAGUAGCACAGAUUACAGUUCCUCAUCUGAGUCAGAGGAAGAGAGGAGGAGGCGGAGAAGGAAGAAGAAGCAGAAGAAGGGGAGGCGUAGAAGGUACAGUUCAUCUUCUGAGUCUUCUGAUUCAGACUCAGCUUCAGAUUCUGAGGACAGGAGCAGCCGAAGGAAGAGCCGGAGGCACAGCAGAAGGCACUGAAAGAGAAAAAGCGUUAAAUCUCCUAUCGACUUUCUCUGUUGAUCUCAUCAAAAUGCCAAAAAAAAGUAUUGAAACCUCUGCGACUUAGGCUUGACUAGUGAGCUUAUUCAUUGGUCUAAAGCAAGUGUUCUGAGAAACAGACAUAGCUAAAAGAACAAGCGAAACAGCUCUCAAAAUUCAGAGGAAAGACUGUAGGUUCAUUAACUAAACCAAUACAUCCUUAUGUGAUAGGCAAUGCUGGAUUCAAGUUGAAAAAGAUGAAUUUAAAAGCUAAAUGAACAAAGACUCAAAGACUAGAAGAUAUACCUCCAAAUUUCAACAAGGUUUAUUAUUGUUUGAACAAGUUGAAUAAUAUUUUUAUUUUAAUUUCAAAAAAAGGUGAUCAUGCAUCAAUCAACUGAAUAAAAUAUUUCCAAUUUAUGUGUUUUGUCUGAUUUAA